rnacentral:rRNA from 1 species
AUUGAACGCUGGCGGCAUGCCUUACACAUGCAAGUCGAACGGUAACGGGCCUUCGGGUGCCGACGAGUGGCGAACGGGUGAGUAAUGUAUCGGAACGUACCUUUCAGUGGGGGAUAACGUAGCGAAAGUUACGCUAAUACCGCAUAUUCUGUGAGCAGGAAAGCAGGGGAUCGCAAGACCUUGCGCUGAUUGAGCGGCCGAUGUCAGAUUAGCUAGUUGGUGAGGUAAAGGCUCACCAAGGCGACGAUCUGUAGCGGGUCUGAGAGGAUGGUCCGCCACACUGGAACUGAGACACGGUCCAGACUCCUACGGGAGGCAGCAGUGGGGAAUUUUGGACAAUGGGGGCAACCCUGAUCCAGCCAUGCCGCGUGAGUGAAGAAGGCCUUCGGGUUGUAAAGCUCUUUCGGCCGGGAAGAAAUCGCACGGGCUAAUACCCUGUGUGGAUGACGGUACCGGAAUAAGAAGCACCGGCUAACUACGUGCCAGCAGCCGCCGUAAGAC